rnacentral:rRNA from 1 species
AACGAACGCUGGCGGCAUGCCUAACACAUGCAAGUCGAACGAGACCUUCGGGUCUAGUGGCGCACGGGUGCGUAACGCGUGGGAAUCUGCCCUUGGGUUCGGAAUAACAGUUGGAAACGACUGCUAAUACCGGGUGAUUACGUAAGUCCAAAGAUUUAUCGCCCAAGGAUGAGCCCGCGUGGGAUUAGCUAGUUGGUGAGGUAAAGGCUCACCAAGGCGACGAUCCUUAGCUGGUCUGAGAGGAUGAUCAGCCACACUGGGACUGAGACACGGCCCAGACUCCUACGGGAGGCAGGAGUGGGGGAUAUUGGAAAAUGGGCGGAAGCCUGAUCCAGCAAUGCCGCGUGAGUGAUGAAGGCCUGAGGGUUGUAAAGCUCUUUUACCCGGGAUGAUAAUGACGGUACCGGGAGAAUAAGCUCCGGCUAACUCCGUG